AACGAACGCUGGCGGCAUGCCUAACACAUGCAAGUCGAACGAGACCUUCGGGUCUAGUGGCGCACGGGUGCGUAACGCGUGGGAACCUGCCCUUGGUUCGGAAUAACCCCCCGGAAGGGGUGCUAAUACCGGAUAAUGUCUUCGGACCAAAGAUUUAUCGCCUUUGGAUGGGCCCGCGUUGGAUUAGCUAGUUGGUAGGGUAAAAGCCUACCAAGGCGACGAUCCAUAGCUGGUCUGAGAGGAUGAUCAGCCACACUGGGACUGAGACACGGCCCAGACUCCUACGGGAGGCAGCAGUGGGGAAUAUUGGACAAUGGGCGAAAGCCUGAUCCAGCAAUGCCGCGUGAGUGAUGAAGGCCUUAGGGUUGUAAAGCUCUUUUACCCGGGAUGAUAAUGACAGUACCGGGAGAAUAAGCGCCGGCUAACUCCGUG
rnacentral:rRNA from 1 species